rnacentral:rRNA from 1 species
UGGGGAAUCUUGGACAAUGGGGGCAAGCCUGAUCCAGCCAUGCCGCGUGAGCGAUGAAGGCCUUAGGGUUGUAAAGCUCUUUCACCGGUGAAGAUAAUGACGGUAGCCGGAGAAGAAGCCCCGGCUAACUCCGUGCCAGCAGCCGCGGUAAUACGGAGGGGGUUAGCGUUGUUCGGAAUUACUGGGCGUAAAGCGCACGUAGGCGGACCAGAAAGUUGGGGGUGAAAUCCCGGGGGCUCAACCCCGGAACUGCCUCCAAAACUAUUGGUCUAGAGUUCGAGAGAGGUGAGUGGAAUUCCAAGUGUAGAGGUGAAAUUCGUAGAUAUUUGGAGGAACACCAGUGGCGAAGGCGGCUCACUGGCUCGAUACUGACGCUGAGGUGCGAAAGUGUGGGGAGCAAACAGGAUUAGAUACCCUGGUAGUCCACACCGUAAAACGAUGAAUGCCAGUCGUCGGGUAGCAUGCUAUUCGGUGACACACCUAACGGAUUAAGCAUUCCGCCUGGGGAGUACGGUCGCAAGAUUAAAACUCAAAUGAAUUG